rnacentral:rRNA from 1 species
AUUAGAUACCCGCGUAGUCCUAGCCGUAAACGAUACUCGCUAGGUGUCGGCCACGGUGCGACCGUUGUCGGUGCCGUAGGGAAGCCGUGAAGCGAGCCACCUGGGAAGUACGGCCGCAAGGCUGAAACUUAAAGGAAUUGGCGGGGGAGCACCACAACAGGUGGAGCCUGCGGUUUAAUUGGACUCAACGCCGGGCAGCUCACCGGGUAGGACAGCGAUAUGAUAGUCGGGCUGAAGACUCUACUUGAUCAGCUGAGAGGUGGUGCAUGGC